AAGCUAGUAGGAACAGAAGGAGAAUCAUCUACUACAUCCACCAUUUUUAACUGCUUAUGUCACUUAACCACAAACAAACAGUAGAUCAUAACUAUACCAGAUGGCUAACACAUGAAUCGACCAGAAACCAACCAUAAACAAACAAAAAUUACAGCCUCUGAUGUUUAUACAACAUGCAACAAUUUUAACAACAAAAAAUACAAGCAAUUUUGACGAAAAACUAACCGAAU
rnacentral:lncRNA from 1 species